GCUCUACCGAAUAUAGCCCGGUUAAGUAUUCCGGCCUUUCGAGCCGGAGACCCGGGUUCGAAUCCCGGCCGGAGCACCA
rnacentral:tRNA from 1 species